rnacentral:rRNA from 1 species
GGUGAACGCUGGCGGCGUGCUUAAGACAUGCAAGGCGAACGCAGUCUUCGGACUGAGUGGCGCACGGGGGAGUAACACGUAAAUGACCUACCCCCAAGUCGCGGAUAACUGGCCGAGAGGUCAGCUAAUACGUGAUGUGAUUUCCCCUUUCUGGGGGGCGAUGAAAGGUUUACUGCUUGGGGAUGGGGUCGCGUUCCAUCGGCUAGUUGGCGGGGUAAAGGCCCACCAAGGCAAGGACGGAUAGCCGGCCUGAGAGGGUGGCCGGCCACAGGGGAACUGAGACACGGGUCCCACUCCUACGGGAGGCAGCAGUUAGGCAUCUUCCACAAUGGGCGAGAGCCUGAUGGAGCGACGCCGCGUGAGGGAUGAAGGUUCUCGGAUCGUAAACCUCUGAAUCAGGGACGAAAGACGCGUAAGCGGGAUGACGGUACCUGAGUAAUAGCACCGGCUAACUCCGUGCCAGCAGCCGCCGUGACAC